CCGUACGAUAUGUAAGAGAACAAAUACACUGUGGCUAAUUCUACACUAGACUUAUUCUGUUGAUCUGUACAACAGUCGGUCCUUUUGUCAUAACUGUAUGUUGAGGGAAUCAUUUAAGAAUAGUGUAUCAAAGCCAAGGUUUAGAAUUUGCUAUGGGAGUAGAAUAUAUAUUGAAUUUUGUAUGAACUCUUUGUUUACAUUACAUAGCUGGGAUAUUUUGCCACUUUUAAAAUGAUUUCAGAAAAGGUCCUAGGAAACUGAGAUUAGUGAUAUAUGUGGGUUUAUGUGUAGAAAUUUAAGGUACAUUUUCAUAGUAUGAAACUGUCAGUAAAAGGCACAAUGGCUACAGCAGAAUUAAAGAUCUAACCAAUGCCAAGCCCACGUUAACUAUGUUUCUGGAUUUGAAUGUACACAGCACUUUUCCUAUACAGUUCUAUACAAAGAAAACUGAACUAGGUGUAACUAUGUUGUAGGAUUGAAGAAAUUAUUAUUUAUGUCUGUCUUUGUUUCUUGUUAUCCUACAAAGUUGAUGUGUAAACAUCAAGUUGAUUUCAUUGGUGCAUGAGGAAAAGUGGAUGUGAUCUGUAAGGAACCAGAGUCCCACAUGAGGAGUUUAAGAUGGCAUUCAAUAUUCAGUGCUCAGGUAUGUAGUAAGUACUGUAGUCCUAUGGGGCAAAUGUGUAGAUAUUUUUAAACAUUUUGCUGUAAUUGCACAAUUUUUGCAUUUUUACCUGAUGUCAUUGUUUCUUGUAAUAAAACCUUUUCUGAUUGAAAACUGCCAGUGUUGUAAACUGAUCUGAAGAAUGAUUUUUGCAAAAUUAAAAUUUGGUGAAAAUCACAAA
rnacentral:lncRNA from 1 species